UUUAAUAUGGCAGAACAUAUGCAAUGAAUUUAAAAUUCAUUAAUAAAUAAUUUAAUUAUUUUAUUAAAA
rnacentral:tRNA from 1 species